rnacentral:rRNA from 1 species
AACGAACGUUGGCGGCAUGGAUUAGGCAUGCAAGUCGAGGGAAUCCCAGCAAUGGGGGAACCGGCGUAAGGGGCAGUAAGGCAUGGGUACCUACCCCGGGGUUCGGGAUAGCCUUCAGAGAUGGAGGGUAAUACCGGAUGACCUCGUGAGAGCAAAGAUUUAUCGCCCUGGGAGGGGCCCAUGUGGUAUUAGCUAGUUGGUGAGGUAACGGCUCACCAAGGCGAAGAUGCCUAGCGGGUGUGAGAGCACGACCCGCGCCACUCGCACUGAGACACUGGCGAGACACCUACGGGUGGCUGCAGUCGAGGAUCUUCGGCAAUGGGGGCAACCCUGACCGAGCGAUGCCGCGUGCGCGAUGAAGGCCUUCGGGUUGUAAAGCGCGAAAGAGGGGAGAAAAGCCGAAAGGUUUGAUCGAUCCUCAGUAAGCUCGGGCUAAGUUCGUGCCAGCCGCCGCUGUAACAC